rnacentral:rRNA from 1 species
CAGUCGAGCGAGCGGAACCACAGAUUUACUUCGGUAAUGACGUUGGGAAAGCGAGCGGCGGAUGGGUGAGUAACACGUGAGGAACCUGCCCCUAAGUCUGGGAUACCAUUUGGAAACAGGUGCUAAUACCGGAUAAUAAAGCAGAUCGCAUGAUCAGCUUUUGAAAGGCGGCGUAAGCUGUCGCUAAGGGAUGGCCCCGCGGUGCAUUAGCUAGUUGGUAAGGUAACGGCUUACCAAGGCGACGAUGCAUAGCCGAGUUGAGAGACUGAUCGGCCACAUUGGGACUGAGACACGGCCCAAACUCCUACGGGAGGCAGCAGUAGGGAAUCUUCCACAAUGGACGCAAGUCUGAUGGAGCAACGCCGCGUGAGUGAAGAAGGUUUUCGGAUCGUAAAGCUCUGUUGUUGGUGAAGAAGGAUAGAGGUAGUAACUGGCCUUUAUUUGACGGUAAUCAACCAGAAAGUCACGGCUAACUACGUGCCAGCAGCCGCGGUAAUACGUAGGUGGCAAGCGUUGUCCGGAUUUAUUGGGCGUAAAGCGAGCGCAGGCGGAAAAAUAAGUCUAAUGUGAAAGCCCUCGGCUUAACCGAGGAACUGCAUCGGAAACUGUUUUUCUUGAGUGCAGAAGAGGAGAGUGGAACUCCAUGUGUAGCGGUGGAAUGCGUAGAUAUAUGGAAGAACACCAGUGGCGAAGGCGGCUCUCUGGUCUGCAACUGACGCUGAGGCUCGAAAGCAUGGGUAGCGAACAGGAUUAGAUACCCUGGUAGUCCAUGCCGUANACGAUGAGUGCUAAGUGUUGGGAGGUUUCCGCCUCUCAGUGCUGCAGCUAACGCAUUAA